CGCAGGCUUUCCUACCAAGUUGACCUGUGUGGCAGAGUUGAGUGAAUUCCUCACCAUGGUUGUGUUCCUGUGCUCUGCCCAGCAUUCUGCCGUCAACUAUGGCCAGUUUGACUUCUAUGCAUGGAUCCCAAAUGCACCCAGUGCCAUGAGGAAACCACCUCCAACCACCAA